AUUGAACGCUGGCGGCAUGCCUUACACAUGCAAGUCGAACGAGUGGCGAACGGGUGCGUAAUACAUCGGUACGUGCCCUGUCGUGGGGGAUAAAUAGUCGAAAGACUAGCUAAUACUGCAUACUAUAGGCACGGCCGAUGUCUGCUUGGCUAGUUGGUGGGGUAAAGGCCUACCAGGGCGACGAUCAUUAGCUGGUCUGAGAGGACGAUCAGCCACACUGGGACUGAGACACGGCCCAGACGCCUACGGUAGGCAGCAGUGGGGAAUUUUGGACAAUGGGGGCAAGCCUGAUCCAGCAAUGCCGCGUGUGUGAAGAAGGCCUUCGGGUUGUAAAGCACUUUUGGCGGGGAGGCGGUACCGGAAGAAUAAGGACCGGCUAACUACGUGCCAGCAGCCGCGGUAAUAC
rnacentral:rRNA from 1 species